rnacentral:lncRNA from 1 species
UAUAGUUCAACUACUUCAGAGUUUUAAUGAGAAACCCUGAGUAGCUUUGUUGAUGUGAAGUUUGGAGGAUUUUGGGCGAGAUUUUUCAGCAGAGUAACAGUGCUGGAAAAAGGUUUUUAUGAAAUAUUGCUAUGUCGUUCUUGAUGUGUGUUCUAGGUUUUUUUUGGAAGAAAUCUUUUGUUGUGCAUAUGAUGUUGUUCUUGUUAACCUCCCAUAUGUUGCUAUUAUGAAGAAAAGAUUAAGCCUUAAAACACUCUUGUUUCUUUUUGAUUUUCUCAUCCCAGAUUAUGUGGGAUUUGAUCUGUUCUUGUUUAAGCCAUUGUUGCAAUGCCUUUUUAGAUGUUUCAAUUAAUCUUCUGAAUAAAGCUUCAAACUGAGUGAUUUAUUUUGUUGUUUUGCAGUUUCUUAAGCGCUUCUAAAAAGUGCUUUUAAAAUAAGCUAUUUUUGUGCUCUGCAGAUUACAGUCCUGAGGUGGCUUUGAUGGAAUGGGAAGAAAGAGUAGGUUGUAAAUUAGGGACCUUUUUGCAGCAAAUUUCACUUAGUUGAGAUGUAACUAUUUAGUUUAAUUUUUUUAAGGACAAAAUGUGUGUUUUGAUUAUUUGGGACUUAUUGAAUUAAAUUUUAAUUAUGUAAUUACCUUUUAAGCUUUUCAAAAUUUAACUCAAUAUUUAUUUAUGCUAAUCAAUUUCAAUUUUUAAAAAUAACAA